CCUACGGGAGGCAGCAGUGGGGAAUCUCGCGCAAUGGGCGAAAGCCUGACGCAGCCAUGCCGCGUGAAUGAUGAAGGUCUUAGGAUUGUAAAAUUCUUUCACCGGGGACGAUAAUGACGGUACCCGGAGAAGAAGCCCCGGCUAACUUCGUGCCAGCAGCCGCGGUAAUACGAAGGGGGCUAGCGUUGCUCGGAAUUACUGGGCGUAAAGGGAGCGUAGGCGGACAUUUAAGUCAGGGGUGAAAUCCCGGGGCUCAACCUCGGAAUUGCCUUUGAUACUGGGUGUCUUGAGUAUGAGAGAGGUGUGUGGAACUCCGAGUGUAGAGGUGAAAUUCGUAGAUAUUCGGAAGAACACCAGUGGCGAAGGCGACACACUGGCUCAUUACUGACGCUGAGGCUCGAAAGCGUGGGGAGCAAACAGGAUUAGAUACCCUGGUAGUCCACGCCGUAAACGAUGAUUGCUAGUUGUCGGGAUGCAUGCAUUUCGGUGACGCAGCUAACGCAUUAAGCAAUCCGCCUGGGGAGUACGGUCGCAAGAUUAAAACUUAAAGAGUAAGUACGCGNGAGAGAGCGACGACGACGACGACGGAGGAGAG
rnacentral:rRNA from 1 species